UUUUUUUUGAAUGAGAAAACAUUUAUUCCAUCUCCAAACAGCAUCCCAGGGCCGGGCAUCUCCCCUACGACUUUAUAAUACACUCGGCACAGACAGAGUUUGGGAGCCAUGGGACACCUCUGCCCUCCCCAGGCUUCCUAAGUAACAACUGCAGAAUAUUUACAUAAAGCUGGGUGUUGUCAGGCAAAGCCAUUCCCUGCUGCCAGGGGUGGGAGCAAGAAGGAAGUGCCAUGAGCACCAGCCCCGCCUUCACACCGUGGGAGGCAGCCCAGAGGCCACCGGCACAGGGUGGUGGCCCCCAGAUCAUACAGCAGUGGACACAGGGGAAGCAAACCUGAGUGAGGACACAAGAGCCUGGUCCGGCUCCGCUGCACAGGUGGAGAUGAAGAGAGUCCUUCCAUCCAUCUGCUGGACCUGCUGGGCCUCAGGGCUUUCUCUGAAGUGGUAGGGGGAAGAUGUCACAGAGGAAAUGUAAAGAAAAGUCUACCUCGGCAGUCUACAGCGUGGUGGAUAAAAAAAGAGCAGGAAGAGUCUGGCGAGGCGAUCAGCCUGAUGUAGGUGCUGAGUGUCCCUCACAAAGUCCCAGCAUGAAAGGGGUGGCUGAGAGCCGCUGGGUGGGCCCCAAGUCCAUGGUGCUAGAGCGAGGUCAGGCUGAGGCAGGGCUGGAGGUGGUUGCAUGGAUGGCACUACAGGCACUUAGAGGGGUCUAAUCUGGGUCCAUUGGGGGCUAUGCCCCACAAGAGUGGUUCCUGUGCCCACGGGUCCCACCAUGAACCCCCCAGCCCCAGGCCUGAGCUCAUAAGUAAGCAGGGAGUCCAGAAGCCAAGCAGCCAAGGGCGUCCCUGACACCCAAAGCAAUGCCACCACAUACAAGGAUAGCCAGACGGAUCCAAGCUGAGGGCUGGACAGUGCCCACGGAGCCAUUUAAAGUCUUGUGUAUGUCUUUUUUUCCUCGUUUUUAAUUUCAUUUGACACUUAUGUACAAUAAAGUAUUGUGUAUGUCUAAAGCUUAAAUCAGGUGGGCCAUUUCCAUUUUCCUGGGUUCUGUUGGUUUGUUUGCUUUGUUUUCCUGCUGGUAAUAGGUAGUACCUGAGGAAGGCAAGAAAGGAUAUAAAGAAAAUAAGAAACAACACUUUCUCUGCACAUCCAAAUUGUGGCAAGGAUUUUUGCAGAUUGCCACCAGUUCACUGAGAGGAGUCAUUGAAAACAUGGCAUUGAGGACAGAGACUGCCACUUCAGAAUUUUCUACAUCCAACUGCUGAAGCCACUCGAAGAUAUUUCCCUCAGAGAACCAUAACCAGCUUUGGAGAAGAUGCUUCCACAUAGCUUGUUUCACAGCAUCUCAUCUCUCAUUAAAACCUUGUUGAGGGAGCAUUACUGUCUGAGCAAUGGACAUAGCUCUCAUACGAACCUUUUCAGCUAACACCGGAUAAGCCAGCUUUCUGACAGCCUCUUUCACAUCCUUGGUGCACCCUACAAUUUUUGGCAAAGUCUUUGCUGAUGGUGCAAUACAUGAUAACACUGCCUGUCUAAGUUCUGGAUUCAAAUCAAUCAUUUUCGAUCAAAGUAGCAUAUGCAUUAACCACUGGGCAUUCAUCAUCCUUUGGAUCCUGAAGUCGUGAAAGCGCCAGAACUGCCUGUAUUCUCACAUUUGGAAUCUUAUCUUUCAGUCUAAUAAGCAUGGCUUCAUUAAUUUUGUCAAACACACCAUCAUCAAUCUGAGCUUCUUCUGGCAUACUUCUCAAAAGCUUGUUUAUGCAGCUCCUGGUUCUUGAACUAACGUAGGCAUCAGCACAGCUGAUUCUCAUUCAGGAGAAGACAGUGCUGUGCCCAGGGGCCCCUGAGCCAUUGCCCAGCUUUCCAGCUUUCCAGGAAGUCUGCACUGGAGAAGCAUUCAACCUCCUCUGAGCUAACAUUUUCAUGUGCACACGUGAUUAUGAGUGUGAUACAGACAUUAUUUUACUUGUGUAACUAAUUUUUAAAUCAGACUAAUAAAAAAAGUUAUCAGUCUAA
rnacentral:lncRNA from 1 species